UCACAGAUACCCACGGUCCCCGG
rnacentral:siRNA from 1 species